GUGGGGUCCGCAAGGGUCCCACAGUAGGGUCCACAUGGGUCCCACAGCGGGGUCCACCCCAUGGGUCCCACAUGUUGAUGCAGUAGUGAUAUAGUGAUGACUUAAGCAAAUUACUAUGCUUGAUAUUUUGAAUAUUUUAUUAUUUUACUAUGCUUGAUAUUUUUAAUAUUUUAUUAUUUUACUAUGCAGCAUAGUAACCCAAUGUUUUCCUAUAAAUAGAGCCUUUCAGAAUUCAUUUUGAAUUACGAAAAAUCUUUCUUUCUCUCACUCUGCCUAAAAUCUUCUUAACACUCUUUUAAAGUUUUAAAUCUCUAAAAUCUAGGCGAAGUUCUGUUUGUAACGCUAGCCUACGAAGACCUUUUUGGGAAGCUAACAAUUUCGGUUGUUUUAUCAAGACGCAAGGUAAGAGGCCCCAAAUAUAAAUCGUUGAUGAGUAUACGUGGAGCCAACAUGACUGUACAUAUGGGGCUGACCUGAAGGGAGUGGAGUUCUGCUAUGCUAUUUUAUAAAUAAACAAGAAACUUGGUUUUAUUAUAUUUCAUUAAAAGUAUUUUGUGAACUUUAUCAUUUACUUAAAGCUUUAAAAGUAUUUCAUGAACUUUGUAAUUUACAUAAAGCUUUUCAAUUUAUCAGUUGGAUACAUUUUCAUUUCUACGUUAAGGUGUA